rnacentral:lncRNA from 1 species
AGGAACCUUAAAUCCGCACGCGUCUUCUUAUUUGUUUACUAGAUCAAAGCCAAUGACCCCCUCUCACUACAAAACAAAGAAUAACUAAAUCAUGGCCUCCUCACGUGGCAAGCUUGACGACGGCGGUGGAGAACUCUGUUUUCGAUCAAGCAUCGGAGAAGCAUCCAUCCACAUCCCUAGUGAUCUGCCUCUUCUAAUCGGUAAAUCAUUCAACUCAUGUUCCCGCUAAGAUCAUUUAUUUUCAACAAACCGACCCAUGGACUUGAACCCCUUGAAUCUGAUGAUGAUAGAGAUCGAUUCCUUCGACGGCUCCUCCUCGUAAUAAUCGACGAGGAUUUUAUUGAUUAAAAUCUGCAAGCUUGACUCCAAUUGUAUCUAUGGUAAGAGAUAAUUUUCUUCGCCCCUUACACAUGAUUCAUAAACAUAAGUUCAAGCCGAUACCGAUUAUCUAAGGUUUCAACUUCUUUUUCCAGAAACAACAAGUCUUUGCCGGUGAUGUUUCAUCACGAUCGAGAUUGGAAUAUUAGGAACGAUUCAUGUCCUCUAUAGCUUUUGGAUAGAAUCUGAUCAAAGUUAGGAGGUUGAAUAAGAGGUUCAAGAUGUUCAGAUUAGUUCUCAAUUCCCCCACGUUGGAUUCUCACCGUUCGAUUUAAAAUGUGGGUUGGUUUAAGGGGGUAAAUUUUUAUCGCUAUAGUAAUUAGUUUGUAUGUUUUACUAUUUGGUGCAUUUAAUUUAUGUCAUGGCUCCAUGAUUAAGUGUUUACUUUAUGGUC